AAGAUUGGGAUGAAGCAAAAUAACAUAAUCCAACACUUGAUCUGAGAUAUUCAUUUUCGAGUGAUUAUAAAUAUGGCUUCUGAAUCUCU